AGUGAACGCUGGCGGUAGGCCUAACACAUGCAAGUCGAACGGCAGCACAGUAAGAGCUUGCUCUUACGGGUGGCGAGUGGCGGACGGGUGAGGAAUACAUCGGAAUCUACUUUUUCGUGGGGGAUAACGUAGGGAAACUUACGCUAAUACCGCAUACGACCUACGGGUGAAAGCAGGGGAUCUUCGGACCUUGCGCGAUUGAAUGAGCCGAUGUCGGAUUAGCUAGUUGGCGGGGUAAAGGCCCACCAAGGCGACGAUCCGUAGCUGGUCUGAGAGGGUGAUCAGCCACACUGGAACUGAGACACGGUCCAGACUCCUACGGGAGGCAGCAGUGGGGAAUAUUGGACAAUGGGCGCAAGCCUGAUCCAGCCAUACCGCGUGGGUGAAGAAGGCCUUCGGGUUGUAAAGCCCUUUUGUUGGGAAAGAAAAGCAGCAGGUUAAUACCCCGCUAUUCUGACGGUACCCAAAGAAUAAGCACCGGCUAACUUCGUG
rnacentral:rRNA from 1 species